AGAACCAUUCCAAGCUGAGGAUAUCACAGGCAAGAUGACAUGACCUUGAUCCCAUAUCUAGACUUGUUAUGUUAGUUUUGAUUCCACGUCAUAUUUCUCGCUGCCUACCACUGAAAAUAAAUUGCCUCUUCAUAUGCCAUGAGCUUAACACCUUACUCUUUUCUAGCAAACUUGCAUGGCUAGGUAGGCUUGCUCAGCUACUAAUGUUAGCGUUGUUAGCUGCAGGUGCCUUAACUCAUAUAAUGACAUGAGCUUGAUAUCAUUAUAUUAAUUUCUGAUAGUUAACUAAUGUAUCUAUAUACUUGGUAAAUGACGGGAGGCCUAGCCUUUUGCCGGGUGUCUUGUUUCGUUAUUGCCGCCUUAGUUACCGGUUACCGGUGUUUGAUUCCACAAUGAUCGCUCCUAACACGUUCGGGGUUGUUAUGGGGACCCCCUUGAUAAAUCGCGUAGUGUUAAGGCUUGUCCGGCAGGACCCAACUUUGGUUUUAAACUGCUAAUCACAUAAUAAUCUGCAUAGGGAAUAGCUACCCCGAGGAAUUUAAUCAACAACUCGGGCCAGUGCUCCCCAUGAGUGUUGGUCCCACCUGAGCGAUGUCCGGGGCCCCACUGGUCACCCAGAGGUUUAGCCAUCCCGACGUCUAGCUCAUCUGUCGUGUCCUGAGACUGAGAUACGCGGCUCUUAUCAGGGUCGUCGACACGACGGGAGGUCCUGCUAGUCUUGUCUUGCCUUAGCGGUAUAUCUUGCGUAUAGGAAUCCCGGUGAAGCUUUGGUUUUCCCCAGAGUUGAAGUUUUCCUCUAAGGAAUCCGACGAGAUCACGAGAUUCGUGAUAGAGGAUGCCUUUGCGGCCUGUGUUCGUUUGUGAUGGACUAGUUGGAGCACCCUGCAAGGUUUAAUCUUUCGGAAAGCCAUGCCCGCGGUUAUGUGGCAACUUGGAAUAUUUUGUUAACAUCCGGUAUUAGAGAACUUGAACAUAAACUAAUAAAAAUGCCAACUGUGUGUGUAACCGUGACUGUCCCCUCGAAGACCUCUCUUCGAUCCGGAACACGGUGGGGUUAUGAAUGCCGUAGGUAGGUGUUCAGGAUCACUUUCUGAUCAAGUAUUCUCGACCGUUAGCGUAGACCACUUUCACUUCCUUCUCGCGUAAGUUAGCCACUUAUUCAAUCAUAGGUUGCAGCAGCCUGAAACACUUCAUCCCUUCCUUACCCAAUAACAUGACUAGUUCUGGCACCAAGGUCUUAGAUUGCUGAGUCCCCGUGGCUCACGGAUUCCUCCAAAACUUCCAGCAGGUACAGGUACCCCAGAGACUGAUGAUCCCGACGGCACCCAGCUGGCGUGGCAGUACGACGAGGAGACAGAUCGCCUUUACGUGAACUAUCCAGAGGACUGAGCCGUGGUCGUGAUCGUGGGCCUGCAGCGGGUAGCAUAGCAUUUUCCUUGUUUUGUAGUCCGUACCGGAACUACCUUGUUUGUAUCUGUGUUGUACUCUGUAUUAUUAAUAAGAAGACAGUUGAAUCCCAGAUUGUCU
rnacentral:lncRNA from 1 species